UACGAAGGGGGCGAGCGUUGUUCGGAAUCACUGGGCGUAAAGGGCGCGUAGGCGGCCCUCUUAGUCGCGUGUGAAAGCCCCGAGCUUAACUUGGGAAUUGCGCUUGUGACUGGCGAGCUGGAGUGUGGCAGAGGGAGGUGGAAUUCCACGUGUAGCAGUGAAAUGCGUAGAGAUGUGGAGGAACACCGAUGGCGAAGGCAGCCUCCUGGGCCAGCACUGACGCUCAUGCACGAAAGCGUGGGGAGCAAACAGG
rnacentral:rRNA from 1 species